rnacentral:rRNA from 2 species
GGACUACAAGGGUAUCUAAUCCUGUUUGCUCCCCUAGCUUUCGCACCUCAGCGUCAGGAACGCGCCAGUCGCUCGCUUUCGCCUCCGGCGUUCCUCCUGAUAUCUACGCAUUUCACCGCUUCACCAGGAGUUCCAGCGACCCCUCACGCCCUCUAGCCCGGUAUUUUCAGCCGCCGUUCCGCCGGUAAGCGACGGGAUUCCACGACUGAUUUGCCGAGCCGCCUACGUGCCCUUUACGCCCAGUGAAUCCGAACAACGUUUGCACUCUCCGUAUUACCGCGGCGGCUGGCAC